GACGAACGCUGGCGGCGUGCCUAACACAUGCAAGUCGAACGGACAGGCCCUGCUUUUGCUGGGUUGUCGAGUGGGGCACGGGUGUGUAACACGCGAGUAACCCCCCCCUGUCUUUCGGGUAACAUUUGGGAACACGGGCUCAUACCCGGUAGGAUCUCCUGCUCCACGGGGGGGGUUGGAAAGGUUCGGUGGUUGGGGCUGGACUCGCGGGUUAUUCGCUUGUUUGUGGGGUUGGUGCUUUCCAAGGUUUUGAAGGGUAGCCGGCCUGAGAGGGUGGACGGCCACAUUGGGACUGAGAUACGGCCCAGACUCCUACGGGAGGCAGCAGUGGGGAAUAUUGCGCAAUGGGCGGAAGCCUGAUGCAGCAACGCCGCGUGCGGGAUGACGGCCUUCGGGUUGUAAACCGCUUUCGCCUGUGACGAAGCGUGAGUGACGGUAAUGGGUAAAGAAGCACCGGCUAACUACGUG
rnacentral:rRNA from 1 species